GACGGAAAAUAUUAAACGUGUUCUAGAACUGACCGCAAACCUAUUCCUAACAACCUCAAGUCUGUAACGUUAACCUUCAGUAUCAAAGUGCUUGUCUAGGACUAGAGCCAUUUCAACACCUUUUCCUCACCAAACAUCGUUUGGAAAGAGGGAAGCUUGACCUCGUACCCAUUCUCCAAAGACAACAUGGAUGAAG